UACGAGAGCCUCGAGCGUUAUCCGGAAUUAUUGGGCGUAAAGGGUGCGUAGGUGGUCCUAUUAGUCUUUUGUUAAAACCCCAGGCUUAACCUGGGAUGGGCGAAAGAAACGGUAGGACUUGAAAGUGCGAGAGGUAUACGGAACUCAUGGUGUAGGGGUGAAAUCCGUUGAUAUCAUGGGGAACACCAAAUGCGAAAGCAGUAUACUGGCGCAUAUUUGACACUGAAGCACGAAAGCGUGGGUAGCGAAUGGG
rnacentral:rRNA from 1 species